rnacentral:rRNA from 1 species
UACGAAGGGGGCGAGCGUUGUUCGGAAUUACUGGGCGUAAAGGGCGCGUAGGCGGCCGAUCAAGUCAGAUGUGAAAGUCCUGGGCUUAACCUGGGGACUGCAUUUGAUACUGGUUGGCUUGAAUGCAGGAGAGGAUAGCGGAAUUCCCAGUGUAGAGGUGAAAUUCGUAGAUAUUGGGAAGAACACCGGUGGCGAAGGCGGCUAUCUGGACUGUGAUUGACGCUGGAGGCGCGAAAGCCGUGGGGAGCAAACAGG